UCUUUAGACCUUUACAAUUAUUAUUUGAGGUAAUGCCCCAGGAUGGGAACAUAGCAAGGCGCCUUACUUAGUAGUGUGUUUGGGUAUCUGGAGAAGA
rnacentral:SRP_RNA from 1 species